rnacentral:rRNA from 1 species
CGUAGGGUGCAAGCGUUAAUCGGAAUUACUGGGCGUAAAGCGUGCGCAGGCGGUUAUGCAAGACAGAUGUGAAAUCCCCGGGCUCAACCUGGGAACUGCAUUUGUGACUGCAUGGCUAGAGUACGGUAGAGGGGGAUGGAAUUCCGCGUGUAGCAGUGAAAUGCGUAGAUAUGCGGAGGAACACCGAUGGCGAAGGCAAUCCCCUGGACCUGUACUGACGCUCAUGCACGAAAGCGUGGGGAGCAAACAGGAUUAGAUACCCUGGUAGUCCACGCCCUAAACGAUGUCAACUGGUUGUUGGGAGGGUUUCUUCUCAGUAACGUAGCUAUCGCGUGAAGUUGACCGCCUGGGGAGUACGGCCGCAAGGUUG